CUCUAAAUAAUUUCAUGAUAGGGUUAGUAGCUAAUCUUUAAUUUUAUUAAGUUGCAUGGUGGAGUUACUUCAAAAGUAAUGUUUGGUAGAGAUGAGGUAGAAGUACUAACAUAGAAAUAGAAAUUGAGAUAGUUAACAAAAUAAGAAAA